AAUACAUAAAUACUAGGUUCAAGGAUUCGGUUUUAUUCAGUUUUUCGGUUCUAGCCUCUUAGGAUCCAUAAGAGAACCAAAAAAGUUUCGGGUUCAGGUUCGCAUACUUAGAAAGAGAGCCGAAAAUUAACUGAACUCCAUUAAUAGAUAUCCGUUCCGUUUGGUUCCCGUUAUUUUACACAAAAUACCAAAAAAAAACGAAAAAACCAAAUAUCCAAAACAUUUUUGACGAAAUAUCUAUGAACAAAAAUAUUAAAAU
rnacentral:sRNA from 1 species